UCAAAUGAGGAAAGGCUUAUGGUGGAUACCUAGGCACCCAGGGACGAGGAAGGGCGUAGUAAUCGACGAAAUGCUUUGGGGAGUUGAAAAUAAGCAUAGAUCCGGAGAUUCCCGAAUAGGGCAACCUUUCAAACUGCUGCUGAAUCUAUGGCCGGUCAAGAGACAACCUGGCGAACUGAAACAUCUUAGUAGCCAGAGGAAAAGAAAGUAAAAGCGAUUCCCGUAGUAGCGACGAGCGAAAUGGGAUCAUCCUAAACCAUGAAAAUGGGGUUGUAGGAGAGCAAUACAAGCGUCAUGCUGCUAGGUGAAACAACUUGAAUGUUGGACCCUAGAUGGUAAAAGUCCAGUAGCCGAAAGCAUCACUAGCUUACGCUCUGACCCAAGUAGCAUGGGGCACAUAGAAUCCCGUGUGAAUCAGCAAGGACCACCUUACAAGGCUAAAUACUCCUGGGUGACUGAUAGCGAAGUAGUACCAUGAGGGAAGGGUGAAAAGAACCCCCAUCGGGGAGUAAAAUAGAACAUGAAAUCAUAAGCUCCCAAGCAGUGGGAGGAGCCAGGGCUCUGACCGCGUGCCUGUUGAAGAAUGAGUCGGCAACUCAUAGGCAGUGGCUUGGUUAAGGGAACCCAUUGGAGCCGUAGCAAAAAUGAGUCUUCAUAGGGCAAUAGUCACUGCUUAUGGACCCGAACCUGGGUGAUCUAUCUAUGACCAGGAUGAAGCUUGGGUGAAACUAAGUGGAGGUCCGAACCGACUGAUGUUGAAGAAUUAGUGGAUGAGUUGUGGUUGGGGGUGAAAUGCCACUCGAACCUCGAGCUAGCUGGUUCUCCCCAAAAUGCGUUGAGGCAUAACAGUGGAUUGGACAUCUAGGGGUAAAGCACUGUUUCGGUGCAGGCCGCAAGAGUGGUAACAAAUUGAGGCAAACUCUGAAUAUUAGGUAUAGCCUUAAAAUUAAGAAAGAGGGGUCAAAGUCGGCUAGUGAGACGAUGGGGGACAAGCUUCAUCGUCGAGAGGGAAACAGCCUGGAUCACUAGCUAAGGCCUCUAAAUGGCCACUCAGUGACAAAGAAGGUAGGGGUGCGGAGACAGCCAGGAGGUUUGCCUAGAAGAAGCCACCCUUGAAAGAGUGCAUAAUAUCUCACUGAUCAAGCGCUCUUGCACCGAAGAUGAAUGGGGCUAAGUGAUCUGCCGAAGCUGUGGGGUGUAAAAAUACAUCGGUAGGGGAGCGUUUUGCCUUAGAGGGAAGCCUUCGCAUGAGCGGUAGUGGACGAAUUGGAAGGGAGAAUGUCGGCUUGAGUAACGCAAACAUUGGUGAGAAUCUAAUGCCCCGAAAACCUAAGGAUUCCUCUGAAAGGUUUGUCAGGGCCUAAGAUCAGGCCGAAAGGUGUAGUCGAUGGAAAAUAGGUGAAUAUUCCUGUACUACCCCUUGUUGGUCCCGAGGGACGGAGAAGGCUAGGUUAGCCGAAAAAUGGUUAUCGGUUCAAGAACGUAAGGUGUCGCUGCCCUUUUUUCAGGGUAAGAAGGGGUAGAGAAAAUGCCUCGAUCCAAUGUUUGAAUACUAGGCGCUACGGCGCUGAAGUAACCUAUGCCAUACUCCUAGGAAAAGCUCAAACGACUUUAAGCAAGAGGGUACCUGUACCCAAAACCGACACAGGUGGGUAGGUAGAGAAUACCUAGGGGCGCGAGACAACUCUCUCUAAGAAACUCGACAAAAUAGCCCGAUAACUUCAGGAGAGGGGUGACACUUCACAUCACAAAGGGGGUCGUAGUGACCAGGCCCAGGUGACAGUUUACCAAAAACACAGGUCUCCGUAAAGUCGUAAGACCAUGUAUGGGGGCUGACGCCUGCCCAGUGCUGGAAGGUCAAGAAAGUUGGUGACCUGAUGACAGGGGAGCCGACGACCGAAGCCUCAGUGAACGGCGGUCGUAACUAUAAUGGUCCUAAGGUAGCGAAAUUACUUGUCGGGUAAGUUCCGACCCGCACAAAAGGCGUAACGAUCUGGGCACUAUCUCGGAUAGAGACUCGGUGAAAUAGACAUAUCUGUGAAGAUGCAGACUACCUGCACUUGGAAAGAAAGACCCUAUGAAGCUUCACUAUUUCCUGGGAUUAGCUUUGGGCCAUUCCUGCGUAGCUUAGGUGGAAGGCGAAGAAGGCCUCCUUCCGGGGGGCCCGAGCCAUCAGUGAGAUACUACUCUGGAAGGGCUAGAAUUCUAACUUUGUGUCAGGACCUACGGGCUAAGGGACAGUCUCAGGUAGACAGUUUCUAUGGGGAAUAGGCCUCCCAAAAGGUAACGGAGGUGUACCAAGGUUUUCUAGAGCAGGAAAAAGAUUAGCCCUCGAGUGCACAGGCAUAAGGGAGCUUGACUGCAAGACCCACCCAUCGAGUAGGGAUGAAAGUUGGCCCUAGUGAUCCGAUGGUGCCGAGUGGAAGGGCCGUCGCUCGACGGAUAAAAUUUACUCUAGGGAUAACAGUCUGAUCUUCCCCAAGAUCUCAUAUCGACGGGAAGGUUUGGAACCUCGAUGUUGGCUCUUCGCUACCUAGGUCUAUUGUAUGUUCCAAGGGUUGGGCUGUUCACCCAUUAAAGCGGUACGUGAGCUGGGUUCAGAACGUCGUGAGACAGUUCGAUCCAUAUCCAAUGUGAGCGUUAGAGUAUUGAGAUUGAGAGGACCUUUCCCUAGUACGAGAGGACCAGGAAGAACGCACCUCUGGUGUACCAGUUAUCGUGCCCACAGUAAAUGCUGGGUAGCCAAGUGCGGAGCGGAUAAUUACUGAAAGCAUCUAAGUAGUAAGCCCACCCCAAGAUGAGUGCAUUCUUAUUCCGACUUCCCCAGAGCUUCCGGUAGCACAGCCGAGACAGCGAUGGGUUCUCUGUCCCUGUAGGGAUGGAGCGACAGAAGUUUUUUUGAGAAUUCAAGAGAAGGUCACGGCGAGACGAGCCGUUUAUCAUUACGAUAGGUGUCAAGUGGAAGUGCAGUGAUGUAUGCAGCUGAGGCAUCCUAACAGACCGGUAGACUUGAACCU
rnacentral:rRNA from 1 species